GCCACCGUAGCUCAGUUGGCAGAGCGGUUCACUCGUAAUGAACAGGUCAAGAGUUCGAGUCUCUUCGGUGGCU
rnacentral:tRNA from 1 species